UUGAUUUCAACUUGAAAAUAAAAAUAAAUGCAUAGAUAAAAAAAUUAUGUUAUUAUUGCACUCUUUGAAAGUACCACAACGCUACAAUGAAAAGGAACAUGAUGAAAACCCAAAUGCUAAGGCAUCAGAUAUCUAACAUAAAUAAAAUAAAACAAACUGCAAGCAUUGUGUUUGCAACUCUUUUUAAUUUCAUCCUUCCGAGACUUAGUCAAGAAAUGCACUUACUAGAAUCUUAUUUUUCCAUUUCCUUGAAUAUAUAUAUUGGGAAUAUCGUUGAGCACAUUAGGUAUUGUGUUUGGGUCGUUUAAUACAUGAGGCAUCAUGUUUAAUUUGUUCUGAAUUAUAAUCAUCUCAGCUUCGUUAGUAACUUUCUUCUUCAAUUCCUCAAAAGAUGUCUUUAAAUGCUCAAGUUCUGAGAAACGCAUUUCCUGUUUUUGACCCAUCCACCAACACUUACUCUCACAUAUUUUUUGUAUUUCCUUAAGCUCUGCAUUGCGAUUU
rnacentral:lncRNA from 1 species